GGCUCAGGAUGAACGCUAGCGGCAGGCUUAAUACAUGCAAGUCGAGGGGCAGCGGGGGUAGCAAUACCUGCCGGCGACCGGCAAACGGGUGCGGAACACGUACACAACCUUCCUUUAAGUGGGGGAUAGCCCAGAGAAAUUUGGAUUAAUACCCCGUAAUAUUAUUGAGUGGCAUCAUUUAAUAAUUAAAGCUCCGGCGCUUAGAGAUGGGUGUGCGGCUGAUUAGGUAGUUGGUGAAGGUAACGGCCCACCAAGCCAACGAUCAGUAACUGGUGUGAGAGCACGACCAGUCACACGGGCACUGAGACACGGGCCCGACUCCUACGGGAGGCAGCAGUAAGGAAUAUUGGUCAAUGGACGCAAGUCUGAACCAGCCAUGCCGCGUGGAGGAUGAAGGUCCUCUGGAUUGUAAACUUCUUUUAUCUGGGAAGAAAUGCCAGAAUUCUUUUUGGUUUGACGGUACCAGAUGAAUAAGCACCGGCUAACUCCGUGCCAGCAGCCGCGGUAAUACGGAGGGUGCAAGCGUUAUCCGGAUUCACUGGGUUUAAAGGGUGCGUAGGUGGGCAGUUAAGUCAGUGGUGAAAUCUCCGGGCUUAACCCGGAAACUGCCAUUGAUACUAUCUGUCUUGAAUACCGUGGAGGUAAGCGGAAUAUGUCAUGUAGCGGUGAAAUGCUUAGAUACGACAUAGAACACCAAUUGCGAAAGGCAGCUUACUACACGUACUAUUGACACUGAGGCACGAAAGCGUGGGGAUCAAACAGG
rnacentral:rRNA from 1 species